GUACUUGCCUCUAACACGGCGAAACCGCGAAUGGCUCAUUAAAUCAGUUAUGGUUUUCUUCGAUCGUGCACAGUUACUUGGAUAACUGUAGUAAUUCUAGAGCUAAUACAUGCGUCCUAAGCUUCGACCUCCGGGAAGAAGCGCUUUUAUUAGACCAAGACCAAUCGGGGGAGACCCCGCUUCUCUGGUGACUCUGGAUAACUUUGCUGAUCGAAUGGCCCAGCGCCGUCGACGUAUCGUUUAAAUGUCUGCCCUAUCAAGUUUCGUAGGUAGUCGACUUGACUACCUAGCUUGUAACGGGUAACGGGGAAUUAGGGUUCGAUUCCGGAGAGGGAGCAUGAGACACGGCUACCACAUCCAAGGAAGGCAGCAGGCGCGCAAAUUACCCACUCCCGGCACGGGGAGGUAGUGACGAAAAAUAACAAUACGGGACUCUUUCGAGGCCCCGUAA
rnacentral:rRNA from 1 species